AUUUUCCGCAAUGGGCGAAAGCCUGACGGAGCAACGCCGCGUGAGGGAUGAAGGCCUCUGGGCUGUAAACCUCUUUUAUCAAGGAAGAAGAUCUGACGGUACUUGAUGAAUAAGCCACGGCUAAUUCCGUGCCAGCAGCCGCGGUAAUACGGGAGUGGCAAGCGUUAUCCGGAAUUAUUGGGCGUAAAGCGUCCGCAGGCGGCCCUACAAGUCUGCUGUUAAAAAGUGGAGCUUAACUCCAUCAUGGCAGUGGAAACUGUUGGGCUUGAGUGUGGUAGGGGCAGAGGGAAUUCCCGGUGUAGCGGUGAAAUGCGUAGAUAUCGGGAAGAACACCAGUGGCGAAGGCGCUCUGCUGGGCCAUCACUGACGCUCAUGGACGAAAGCCAGGGGAGCGAAAGGGAUUAGAUACCCCUGUAGUCCUGGCCGUAAACGAUGAACACUAGGUGUCGGGGGAAUCGACCCCUCCGGUGUCGUAGCCAACGCGUUAAGUGUUCCGCCUGGGGAGUACGCACGCAAGUGU
rnacentral:rRNA from 1 species